rnacentral:rRNA from 1 species
AUUGAACGCUGGCGGCAUGCUUUACACAUGCAAGUCGAACGGUAACAGGUUAAGCUGACGAGUGGCGAACGGGUGAGUAAUGCAUCGGAACGUGCCCGGUCGUGGGGGAUAACGCAGCGAAAGCUGCGCUAAUACCGCAUACGAUCUGAGGAUGAAAGCGGGGGACCGUAAGGCCUCGCGCCAUCGGAGCGGCCGAUGUCAGAUUAGGUAGUUGGUGGGGUAAAGGCUCACCAAGCCAACGAUCUGUAGCUGGUCUGAGAGGACGACCAGCCACACUGGGACUGAGACACGGCCCAGACUCCUACGGGAGGCAGCAGUGGGGAAUUUUGGACAAUGGGCGAAAGCCUGAUCCAGCAAUGCCGCGUGCAGGAAGAAGGCCUUCGGGUUGUAAACUGCUUUUGUACGGAGCGAAAAGGUCCCCUCUAAUACAGGGGGCUCAUGACGGUACCGUAAGAAUAAGCACCGGCUAACUACGUGCCAGCCGCCGCGGUAACAC